rnacentral:ncRNA from 1 species
AUAAAACUUAAUUUGUCGUUUCGUAUAGUGCCGGUAAUAGGGACCGGCAGUUUCUACCAGGCAACCGUAAAUUGCUUGACUACGAAACACGUACCACCCCGU